AUGCUUCAAAACAGCAACGAGCUAAUAGUUCAUCAGAGAACACACGCAUGAGAGAAGCCUGCUUACGUCUGCUCUGACUUUUGCGUGAGAGAGAAGUCUUACUCCUGCUCUGUGGAAGGGUGGGCGUGUAACUCAAACUUCUAGCCAAAGGCUGCUGUGUUUAGAAUCUCAUCAAGGAGGACUGUAGCAUUUUAGCUAAUCAGCAACUUUGCUACUACUUUUUUAGCUAUUACUUAGCAUGUUAGCUUAGCAUGCAACUUUGCAACUACUUACUACUUUUUAGCUAUUACUUAGUAUGUUCGCAUAUCAUACAUAUUACAAGUUCGUAACAUAUUGUAUGAAUAGCAAUGCGUAAAAUAACGUAAGAAUUGUAAUUCGGAACAUACGAUUCAUCCUAGAAGUCGUAUUAUACUGAACAAUUUAAACACAACAAUUUCAAAGAUUUAUAGUUUGUAUAAGGAAAUCAGUCAUUUUAAAUAAGAGGCCAUAAUCUAUGGAUUUCACAUGACUGGGCAGGGGCUCCGCCAUGGGUGGGAGUUGGGAGUGCAUAGGCCCACUUGGGAGCCAGGCCCAUUCAAUCGGCAUGAGUUUUUCCCCACAAAAGGUCUUGAUUACAGACAGAAAUACUACUCAGCCCCCUCCCAGACAAUCCUGCAGGUGAAGAGGUCCUGGGCUGCCGUGGUUACAUGUGAUCUGCAGUUGUGAGGCCGGUUGGAUGUACUGCCAAAUUCUCUAAAAGGACGUUAGAGGUGGCUUAUGGUAGAGAGAUACAUAUUGAAUUCUCUCCUGCAGUCAUCAUGACAAUUGCACAUUCCCUGAAUUUGAGAUAUAUGUGACAUUGUGUUGUGUGGCCUUUUAUUGUCCCCCAGCACAAGGUGCACUUGUGUAAUGAUAAUGCUGUUUUAUCAGCAUCUUGAUAUGCCACACCUGUCAGGUGGAUGGAUUAUCUUGACAAAGGCUGAAAUGCUCACGAACAGGGAUGUAAACAAAGUUGGUCACAACAUUUGAGAGAAAUUAGCUUUUUCUGCACAUGGAACAUUGCUGGAAUGUUUUAUUUCAGCUCAUGAAACCAACACUUUACAUGUUUAGUUUAUAUUUUAGUUCAGUUUAUAUUGGUAUUGUAAUGUAACCUAACAUACUAAAUGGAGUGGCACGGAUGUUUUUGUAAUACAUAAUACGUUUUGCUCUGAGACCAAGUUGUCCCUCUGCAGUAUUCUGUGGGAAUGAGCUAGUAGACACUUCUUUAAAAAAAACAUUUUUUGAAACUUUAUUUAACUAGGCAAGUCUGUUAAGAACAAAUUCUUAUUUACAAUGAUGGCCUAGGAACAGUGGGUUAACUGCCUUGGCAGAACAACAGAGUUUUACCUUGUCAGCUCGGGGACCUUUUGGUUACUGGCCCAAUGCUCUAACCACAAGUCUACCUUCCGCCCCUAACAUGUAUCAGAUAGAGAUGGUGUGAUGAUCACUUUUCACCACUAGUUUGGGGGGAUUAUUUUACAACUUUAUUUAAUGAUACACAGUUUAUGAAAUUAAUCCAUGUGUUUAUGAAUUGUCUUUCAAACUAGAUGAGUUAUUUUAGUUACUGAUCAUGAAUGUGUUUGGAAAACUCUAUUGAAAACCCUUAUUGAUCUGCCAAUGAAAAAUAAAGUUACAUGAAUAUGUA